rnacentral:rRNA from 1 species
UUCCUACGGGGCGCAGCAGUGGGGGAUAUUGCACAAUGGGGGAAACCCUGAUGCAGCGACGCCGCGUGUGGGAAGACGGUCCUCUGGAUUGUAAACCACUGUCCCCAGAGACGAAAAUGACGGUACCUGGGGAGGAAGCUCCGGCUAACUACGUGCCAGCAGCCGCGGUAAUACGUAGGGAGCGAGCGUUGUCCGGAAUUACUGGGUGUAAAGGGAGCGUAGGCGGGGAUGCAAGGUGGGUGUCAAAACUACCGGCUCAACUGGUAGUCGCACUCACAACUGCAGCUCUUGAGUGAAGAAGAGGG